rnacentral:rRNA from 1 species
GAUGAACGCUGGCGGCGUGCCUUAAGCAUGCAAGUCGAACGGCUCCGCAAGGAGCAGUGGCGGACGGUCGAGUAACGCGUGGGGAUCUACCUUGAAGUUGGACAUAGCUCGUCGAAAGGCGGGGUAAUUUCCAAUGUGAACGUAAGUUCAAAGCCGCAAGGCGCUUUAAGAUGAACCCGCGUCCUAUCAGCUAGUUGGUGAGGUAAUGGCUCACCAAGGCUAUGACGGGUAGGGGACAUGAGAGUGUGUUCCCCAAGAAUGGCACUGCGAUACGGGCCAUACUCCUACGGGAGGCUG